UCCGUAGGUGGCAAGCGUUGUCCGGAUUUACUGGGCGUAAAGAGCGCGCAGGCGGUCGUUCAAGUCGCGUGUGAAAGCCCCCGGCUCAACUGGGGAGGGUCACGCGAUACUGAUCGACUCGAAGGCAGGAGAGGGAAGUGGAAUUCCCGGUGUAGUGGUGAAAUGCGUAGAUAUCGGGAGGAACACCAGUGGCGAAGGCGACUUCCUGGCCUGUUCUUGACGCUGAGGCGCGAAAGCUAGGGGAGCAAACGGG
rnacentral:rRNA from 1 species